GCCGAGAUAGCCAAGCGGUACGGCGCUGGCUUGGAGAGCCAGUGUGAUUAAUUUCACCCGAGGGUUCAAAUCCCUCUCUCGGCG
rnacentral:tRNA from 1 species